UGAAUUUUUACACUCUUGUGAAAUAGGCCCCCAUGUAUCUCCUAGCGGCGAUACGAUAAUACGGGGCCCGUAGGGUAACCACGCAUGACACACCCCUCCCUCACAUGAAAGAGAUGAAAGAGAGGAGAAGAGGACAGAAUCGACUCCAUAAGUCCAAUUUUCGACCGCUAGCCUCACAGGUUGCUGCCCAGCCAACCUACCGGUUGGGUGUUUUUGAGUAUGAAUAUCCCCUGUUUUGGAUGAAUUGUACCUUGCCCCUUGUGGGUUAUGUUCCUUACCUUUUUACUUGAAUUUGACCUUAUGGGUAGGUGUAUCUUGGGGACAUUUUCAAGGCUUUAAUUGGGGAAGCAUAUGGAUUGUUUAGGGUGUAUAGGUUCAGUAUAGGGAGUUAUACUGAAUUAUAUAUAUAAUGUAAUGAUACACCUAUGGUAUAGGAACCUAAAUUACCGGCGAGGAUAUGUGGUGGCGGGAAUUCAGCGGUAACGAUUGGAUUUUGGGUUUUGAGAUGGUGGAACUGGUGCUGAGGCUGGAUUGGACUUUGGCAGUGGUUGUGAGGUUUGUGUCGACGAGACACCGGGUUGAUGAUGGACUUCACUAUUGUUACUCAAUCAUUUCUUUUGAUAUAUAUAAUGAUGAUAUAUGUAAGAUGUAAUUAUUAUACAUGUGGGUUGUUAACAAAUGGAUCGUGUAUAUUUGUAAAUUUAUCAAUUUAGUAUUCCACAAGUGAUAUUUGUA